UAAACAUUCAAUACACAAUAGGCUCUUAUUACUAUUAUUUCAUCCGCUAACCUUGUACUUACCUGAAAUUUUUUCCCAGCUGGCGGUUGGCUUAAAAGCCUCUGAGGCUACCAUAGACCUAGUGCAGGAUGGUUUUCCAGGGGUGGAUCCUUGCAAAGAGCUAGGGAGCCUCCUCCAGGCUCCUGCACCUGGGAGUAGUAUUACCCCUAUUUUGUACCUGAGGAAAUUCACCUAUGAUCUCAGAACUAGUAAGAGCCACGAUUGGAACCCAGGGAGUCUGGCUCCAGAGCCUGAACCUUUAUCCACUAUGUUAUUCUGGCCUGUGUUGUUCUCCCAUGGUUGAGUAAAUCCACAAAUUUCAUUUGGUGCUACAUUGUUAUGUCAUGCCUUACUCCUCUUACUUGUAAUGAAUUGCACUCAGCACGACACUGGAAAGUUUCUGUGACAAAAUGUUUUAUCUUCCAGAUAGCACUUUAGUAAGACACAUCCUAAAUGUUAGCAAAAACGAAUUGUACGCAUAUUUUUAAAGUUUUAUUUAUUUAUUUUUGAGAGAGAAAACACAAGUGGGGGGAGGGGUAGAGAGACAGAGAGACAGAGAGAUAGAGAGGGAAACAGAAUCCAAAGCAGGCUCCAGGCUCUGAGCUGUCAGCACAGAGCCCGAUGCGGGGCUUGAACUCACGAACUGUGAGAUCAUGACCUGAGCUGCAGUCGGACACUUAACCAACUGAGCCACCCAGGUGCCUCAAAUCAUACGUAUUAAUCAAAAUUCGGUGGCAACCAAUGAAGAAUGGACAUGAUAGUGCAUGAGUUUGAGAAUUGCUGGUGUGCUGGCUGAUAAUAAGUCUUUGAUAUACUCAACCAUUCCAUCCUCUUUGAUGGGUUAUAUAUAAAAUUUUGCCCCCCAUUUCCCUGAGAAAAUGUCUUCCUGGAGUUGGUGGCAUGCUUCAUCUCUCUGCUUGGCAAACUUUUCAUCUUGGGGAGAAGCAAGGCCUCCUUCUCUCUUUAAUGACCUCAAAACCCUUCUCUAUCAUUUGCAAUGGUCAGAAGAACGUGGGCCCCUACUUCAAAAGAGUAAGGCCAAGCUUAUAUUCAGAGGUUUUGAUUUCUUUACAACCGUGUUUCUGGGUCCUUGGUACUUUGCCAAAUCACCCUCACCCCUUUGCAGGAAAGUGCCAGUGGUAUUAAUCCAGACUUUCUUAGGUAACCUGCACUUUUUCACUUUUCUAGAUGGAAUUGCAAGUGGUCAACCAGCCCUGGAGAUGGUUUUGGUGCCUGGAUCCUGGAGAUUUGUUUGGCCUCUUUGCCAAGACGCCUCGUGUCACACUGCAGCUCUGUCCAGAUGAUUCUAAUAAUAGCCUAAUGGAAUUCUGUGGUUGGAGGAGACCGGGAGAGGUCACUGAGUCUGUCUUCUGCCUGCAGAAGGGAGUAAGUGCUCUUUUUGUGGGAAACAGAAGGCAAGGAGGAACUAAAAUUGCUAGAUCAAAGUCAGUUCCCCACCCCACCCCCUAAGCCAGCA
rnacentral:lncRNA from 1 species